AUGGCGACAGCGACGAACACGAGGGCUCCCCAUCGCCCUCGACCUGUAAGGAGGAGCGCCUACCCCCAGAUCGGGCCUGAGAUGUGCAGCAGCAGCAGCAGGGGGCGAGGAGGCAGGCGUCGUGGUGGUGGGCUCGUCUUUGAGGCACUCGAGGUCGUGCGCGGCAUCAUGGACGCCCGGCAGCUGCGGGUCCCCAUUCAGGCUGCGGCAUCUCCUCCAUGCGCGCCGCCAUGGUCCUCUGCUGCGUCAACAGCGAAUUGUGGAGAUGUCUGUGUCUGCAGAUUUCUCAAAGAUACACAAGCUGAUGGUGGUUUGGAAGAUGUACAAGUUGCUGGAGGUUUGGAAGAUCUACAAGUUGCUGGAGUGACAAUCUGUAUGUAUAUGUUUUGUGAUCUGUCAUGUCUGUUCGAAUAUAAUGAUUGGAUAUUAAAUGAGGGAUAUCUUGCCCAGAACAAUUUAUAUUGCUUCCGAGAAAGCACGUCAUGGCAUAUUACCUGCCAGAGGAAAGCCCGUGCGGUCCAAAAAGAACCUGAACCAAAUGUAGUGGAAAUCUUCAAGGAUUGCCACACCAGCAAGAUGAAGGGCAUGAGCGCACCAGUUCAAGCAGCUGUUCCAAUGUCAGUUACUAUGUUCACUUUUAUACACAGUUGUAUUAAUGUAUCAUUUCCUCUUACAUGGUUUAAAAGAGAUGAAGGAUAUUCUUUUGGUCUUGAUCUAUAA
rnacentral:rRNA from 1 species